AGCCAUAAUGAUGACAUUUUAUUUGCUACUCUUGACUGUAAGAAUGACAGUAAUCUCAAACCACCGAUAUUGAAACUGAGGCA
ensembl:snoRNA SNORD24 Small nucleolar RNA SNORD24